rfam:Amborella trichopoda AMTR_V1.0_contig_44084, whole genome shotgun sequence.
UAUGCAUAUGAUGUAAAGAUAGACCGUGACAUCAGAAGUCUUUCCAGGGUAUGGUGACUCGUCUUUGGGAAUCUCUCUGAUGCAUA